rnacentral:rRNA from 1 species
UACGUAGGUGGCAAGCGUUGUUCGGAAUUACUGGGCGUAAAGCGCGUGUAGGCGGCUCUUCAAGUCAGACGUGAAAGCCCCGGGCUUAACUCGGGAACUGCGUUUGAUACUGUCGAGCUAGAGUGUGGAAGGGGCGAUUGGAAUUCCGUGUGCAGCGGUGAAAUGCGUAGAUAUACGGAGGAACACCAGAGGCGAAGGCGGAUCGCUGGGCCAACACUGACGCUGAGACGCGAAAGCGUGGGGAGCGAACAGG